CCUAGACACCCACCUGGUUUCCUUCGGGCCCUGGCGUAAUGCAGCAGAGCAGCAGCAGCAGCAAGGACGAGGAUGCUGAGCACCAGCCCCGUGAUUCCCGCAGCGGAGACCUUAGUGGCUGACAGAGAACCUAAACCCUGGCUUGCAACUCGAGGCUGUGUGAAAGGAAUCGGAACUUACUUCUCACGGUGACUCGAAUCCACGUGCUGAGGAUGGGGCUGUGAACGUUAUCAGCUGCACAGUAGUAUCUCCCUGCAUCACUCUCCUUCACGGUGAGAACAUGCAGCUCUGCCAACAGGGAACGCUGGGUCUUUCUACCCAGGCUUCUUACUCUUCCUUCUUUGUGCCAGGAGAAUGUGACAGUCCCUGAACCCUGGGCUACUGAGCAAAUAAGGACCAUAUUUUCUCCUUCAAUCAGCUGCCCUCCGGUGGGCCGGAUCUCUAGAUUCACAUUAGACACAGGGACUCCUGGGGGAACACAAGAUGGCAUGUGAAGGUCCUGAUGGCAGGGACAUCAAGGUCAAGGGGAAGGCUGGAGCUACCAUGAAUAGGCCAAUAGCAGCAGGUGCAGCAGGCAGAAGCCCAAAGUAGGAAAUAAG
rnacentral:lncRNA from 1 species